GAGCAAGUUGACAUCAAAAAUAAUAUAGCAGAUCUGUUCACUAAAACCUUAUCAAUGUAGUAGUUUGACCGCCAUCUUGAUAGCAUGGGUAACAAGUAUAUAGACGAUUGGCUUCAAGUGUAAGUGGAAGAUUGAAAGAAUAAUGCCCUACAAGCCAAUGCAUAUGGGAUGCAAUAGGGUAUUUUUAUAAUUUUCUUUCAAAUUCAUAUAAAUUGAUAUUUAUUAUUAAUAAAAUAGAUAUUUUUGAUUCAUUAUAUGCUGUAUCUUAUUAAUUUUAAGAUUAUAAUGAACUCU
rnacentral:lncRNA from 1 species